rnacentral:misc_RNA from 1 species
UCCGGUUUGUCACCGGCAGUCUCCUUAGAGUUCCCACCAUCACGUGCUGGCAAAUAAGGACAAGGGUUGCGCUCGUUACGGGACUUAACCCAACAUCUCACGACACGAGCUGACGACAGCCAUGCAGCACCUGUCUCUCGGUUCCCGAAGGCACCAAGGCAUCUCUGCCAAGUUCCGAGGAUGUCAAGACCUGGUAAGGUCCUUCGCGUUGCGUCGAAUUAAACCACAUGCUCCACCGCUUGUGCGGGUCCCCGUCAAUUCCUUUGAGUUUUAAUCUUGCGACCGUACUCCCCAGGCGGGAAGCUUAAUGCGUUAGCUGCGCCACUGAAGUGUAAACACCCCAACGGCUAGCUUCCAUAGUUUACGGCGUAGACUAC